rnacentral:rRNA from 1 species
AUACGGAGGGUGCAAGCGUUGUUCGGAAUUACUGGGCGUAAAGCGCGCGUAGGCGGCUACUUAAGUCAGAUGUGAAAUCCCCGGGCUCAACCUGGGAACUGCAUCUGAUACUGGGUAGCUAGAGUUUUGGAGAGGGAAGUAGAAUUUCAGGUGUAGCGGUGAAAUGCAUAGAGAUCUGAAGGAAUACCAGUGGCGAAGGCGACUUCCUGGCCAAAAACUGACGCUGAGGUGCGAAAGCGUGGGUAGCAAACGGGAUUAGAAACCCCUGUAGUCC